CCUACGGGGGUCAGCAGUGGGGGAUAUUGCACAAUGGGGGAAACCCUGAUGCAGCGACGCCGCGUGUGGGAAGACGGUCCUCUGGAUUGUAAACCACUGUCCCCAGGGACGCAGAUGACGGUACCUGGGGAGGAAGCUCCGGCUAACUACGUGCCAGCAGCCGCGGUAAUACGUAGGGAGCGAGCGUUGUCCGGAAUUACUGGGUGUAAAGGGAGCGUAGACGGCGAGGUAAGCCUGAAGUGGAAGCCCGCGGCCCAACCGCGGAACUGCUUUGGGAACUGUUUUGCAGGAGUAUGGGAGGGGUAAGCGGAAUUCCUGGUGUAGCGGUGAAAUGCGUAGAUAUCAGGAGGAACACCGGUGGCGAAGGCGGCUUACUGGACCAUAACUGACGUUGAGGCUCGAAAGCGUGGGGAGCGAACAGGAUUAGAUACCCUUGUAGUC
rnacentral:rRNA from 1 species